rnacentral:rRNA from 1 species
GCAGUCGACGGUGACGAGGGGCUUGCUCCUCUGAUCAGUGGCGAACGGGUGAGUAACACGUGAGUAACCUGCCCUUCACUCUGGGAUAACGCUGGGAAACCGGUGCUAAUACUGGAUAUGACCUGCUCGGGCAUCCGAUGUGGGUGGAAAGAUUUAUUGGUGGAGGAUGGACUCGCGGCCUAUCAGCUUGUUGGUGAGGUAAUGGCUCACCAAGGCGACGACGGGUAGCCGGCCUGAGAGGGCGAUCGGCCACACUGGGACUGAGACACGGCCCAGACUCCUACGGGAGGCAGCAGUGGGGAAUAUUGCACAAUGGGCGAAAGCCUGAUGCAGCGACGCCGCGUGAGGGAUGAAGGCCUUCGGGUUGUAAACCUCUUUCAGCAGGGAAGAAGCAGCCGGGUUUUCUUGGUUGUGACGGUACCUGCAGAAGAAGCACCGGCUAACUACGUGCCAGCAGCCGCGGUAAUACGUAGGGUGCAAGCGUUGUCCGGAAUUAUUGGGCGUAAAGAGCUUGUAGGCGGUUUGUCGCGUCUGCUGUGAAAUUUCGGGGCUCAACCCCGAACUUGCAGUGGGUACGGGCAGACUAGAGUGUGGUAGGGGAGACUGGAAUUCCUGGUGUAGCGGUGAAAUGCGCAGAUAUCAGGAGGAACACCGAUGGCGAAGGCAGGUCUCUGGGCCACUACUGACGCUGAGAAGCGAAAGCAUGGGGAGCGAACAGGAUUAGAUACCCUGGUAGAAUCACUAGUGAAUUC